UUUCGAUGAUGUAUUAUGAAUUUCUUCACCUGAAAAAUCAUGAAGAUUAAAAUUCGAGCUUUUUAACCCUGAGUCAAA
rfam:Folsomia candida strain VT population Fcan01_Sc001, whole genome shotgun sequence.